UCCCCUUGUCAUGUUGCCAUUUCAUAAGUAUUCAAAUCACAUUCAAAAUCAAUAUUUCAAACAGGCUAGGGAGCAAAUGAAAUUCGUCCAAACCAACAUUAAAUUUGUCUAUUACAAUCUUUACACUACACCACAACCCAGAUAUGCCUACUACUGCCUACUAUUACAACACAUAUGCUACUCUUUAUUCAUACGCUUCAUAGCUUCACACUUGGCUUCGUACUUCACCUGUGCAAAAAUAAGAAUAAGGUGUACACAACAUCAAACAUUAGACAAUGAUGGAUCCAAUAGCUUGUAAGCAACAAUUGGCAACAUAUUAAUAUUCCCAAAAGGCAUGCAAAACUAUAUCCUGUGAGAACAAAGAAACCCAUGAGUACCUUAAUACACGACCAAACAUCAAAUAUGCAGGUUAAAUUGGCAAAUACUCAGGAAUGCAAAAAAGAAAAUGUUCAUGGUGAAAUUUCAGAAAAUUUGGAAAAAAACAAAUGGACAUACACACAAAUAAAGCAGAGAUAACCCAAGGGCCUGGUGAGGCAGAAAUAUAGAAUAAAGAAAACAAUCAUAUUGUUAAGUAGACCACAGAACCAUGUAAAUAACUUUAGGCAGCUACAGGAAGAACACAUCAAGCUAAUACAUCGAAUGUAAAAAUUAUUCUGCAUAGAUGUGUUAAUACUAAAGGUGGGCAGGUUUGGCUAUUAUUCUGCAUGGAUCUGCUUCAGUAUCUCCCUUUACUACUUUUUUAUGAUGCAUUCAUGAGUUGUACAAUGAUUUUUUUUAGUGUUGAUUUCGUCUGAUUCACUUUGCCAUCUGUCUCAUCUAUCUGUGCAACACCAGGUGGCAGCGAGAGCACGAAAUACAAGCACAAGAAACUAUCUCCACCAAGACGAGAAUAUACAAGCCAGUACUGCAAGUGGUAAUUAAGAAGAAUGGAGUAAUGCUGGCCAUCAAAAGUUGUUCCUAAUUUCUCUUUGUUCUUCACCGGCCCAAAUGCCCAGCCAUUGUUCACAUUCAAAGUGAAUAGACCAUGUCUAUAUACAACAUGACCUGCUAUAGUGAAUACUACGCACACAUGAGGAUGGGAUGGUCAACGCCGGAGACCGCCAUCCUUAUGUGCUGUGGUAUCAAGGUUAGGUUCGAAGAAAUCAAUACAAGAAGGCGAACAACGUAUGCAUGUGAUACUUACUAAACUAAUUUCUCCUAUUUACAACCUGUAUAUUCUCAUCCAAUACCUGUCUUUUCUUAAAAAAAGAAGGGACCAUGCAGAUUGAUUUUCUAGACCGUCGCAUAUUACAUAGACAUUUUUUGUGUACCACCCCACGGAACUCCUUCGCGGAGCCACAAUCAUAGUCUUUGAUUAUUCUUCUUGGUCUAUAUCUAUCUAAUGUGGUUCCCGAUUUGGCAGACAAUAGAGAGAAGGAGAAAAUUUCAACGCCAAAGUUCCAACAACAGGAGCAACCGCGUCAUUUGGAUUAUGAAUAUUGAGAUGUAUCGGAUGGUCUCUUACAAUCCAGCGUAUUACCAGGUGAAGCAAUUUCUCACAGAUGCCCCGAGCAAACAUAUAGUUAGCAGUUUAUCAUCGGACGAUUCUUGCUUUGUUCCGUUGUGCUUAAUCAUUACCAUUGCAUGUUAGUCCCAAUCAUGUGCGGUGCAUCGACAAAUUUAUAUAAUGCAUAGCAUACAUGUUCUAUGCUCAUACAUGUUCUAUGCUCAGUGCCCCAACGCGAAUUCUAUUUUUUGUAUGAUCGCAGAUGUUAAGACCAACACAAGAGUGUUGCUUUUAAUUAUGUUGCCCAUGCAAGCGUACUAUAUGUGGUAUACUGCUAUUUUGCACAUGAAAUUUCCAACCCAUUUUAAAGCAUAUGUGUUAACCUACUAAUCUAUAUGUUUUAUAUGCUCACUAUACUAAUUUUUUAUUUGGGAACUAUUCGUGGACACAUGAGUAUGUAUCAAGUUAGUCCUAUAAACUAUGUUGUGAACCAAAAUUAGUUGCAAAGCUAGACCCGAUUUCCAAUAGGCUUUAGGGCAUUUUCUUACACUCUCGGCAAUUUUUUCUCUACUAAGGUUGUAGAAGUAUCUGUACACACCACAUACACAAGUUACAUUGCCUUGGGUUAUAUGUAAAAAAAUAAGUUAGCUUAUCUAUGUUUAAAUCAUUAAGAAUUGAGCUAUGUUCUAAUGUAAAAAAAUAACGCGUAGAGAAGUGAAAACUACUAUGACUCAUAUUACCUCUGUUUUAUCUUUUGAUUUUAGCAAGUAGUAAUUUGAUAUUUAAUUAGUAGUUUGCAGUUUCCCGUUUCCUAUUAUGCAGUGGAGGAAAUAUCGUAAAGCGAUCCAACUGAACUUUGUUUGUGUUACCAAAUAAUAAUAUGUGGCUUUGUAUCUUCAAGGCAAGUUAUGCCAUCAAUUAAAUGGUAUGUUCUAGAUAUAUAGAAUAAGACAUCAAAUUGACAUAUCGGCAUGUGCCUCUUUAUUUCUUUUCAUCGUUAAAUCAUAUUGACAUAACCAAAAAAAUAAUUAUCCCUUCCCUAGAAUGCGACAAUUUGAUUUCAAUAUGAAGAGUAUCACUAUUAUAAGUGAGCGUAUAUAUUUCUAAUGUUUCUAAACUACAUAAUUGGCUCAUCCCAACUGAACUGUCAAAGUAAUUAAUCUACAACAUUGGUAAGAAUGGAAAUUCUACUACGCAUUUCACAGUUCAAAUUAAAAUGUAUGUGGCAUAAUGUGGUACUACAUAAAUAUGAGAUACACAUACCUUUUAUUGCAUGUACUAUAUUUAGAUUAGAUGUCAAGCAUCCGAGAAUAUCCAGAUCCGGUAUAGGACUUUGUUAAUCAUGGCUUGAUAUGCGUUUAUAUGUUUAUCCAGGAGAGGUCUAUGUCUUACUUUAUGUGUACAUGUUUGUCAAACUUCAUGCAGCAAUUCAUCUCAAGCUUAUAUCAAUUAAUAAAAGUUUAUGUUUGAUUUUGAUACUGGAUGAAUUUGAUGUGGACAGAAAUAACAUGAGCAUAUGUUUGCUUUAGUUAGGUAACUUUUUGAUUAUAGACAUGUUUGUGAAGAAGUUGAACCAUUCAUGGAUAUGAAGCUUAGAAUUACCGUGAUAGAAUUAAUCGAUAUAACUUCUUCAUUCACAUUAACAUCAUGAAUGGUAGACUACUAUAAUUACUAUAACUCUCAUGCAAGAACAUAUAUUAGAUUUACCAUUACCUCGAUGGAAAAAAUUCUAUCUAAAUAUGGCAUCUCAUAUACAUAUAUGUGUGAUGUACACAAAUGCGCAUACAACGUAUAUCCAAUUAAGCAAAGACUACUGAAAUAUAGGUGUACCAGUUGGCGAGACAAUGCGUAUGAAUAUUCCCUUUUAUUUAUUUAUUAAUUAUAUGUUUCUUAAUUUCUAGCCAGUGCAGGUGCACGGGUUGACGACUAGUAGUACUAAUCCAGUACAUAUGUUAUUCCCAAUACUGUCAUGGGCUCAUUGUAGCCGAGUACAGUCCCAGCGUCCCACACUGCCGCAAAAUGCAUAUAAAAUCUACUUGUAAUCACACACUGGAGACCACUGUCCAAACCAAAAUAUUCGAUGCAACAGGCAUGAUGGAGCAGGGAACCGGCCACUGUCAGCAACCCCGACCACAGGGCAGAGGUCAACGGGAUCGAGCUCAUGCGGCUAGCGUCCAUGGAUCAGAUUCACUCCAGCCAUCAAAUCAAAAUGGCAUUCCCCGGACGCACAUCCGAGUCGCUGGCUCGCUGGCUCGCUCCGAUGCCUGACUGAAGGCCAUUGUUGGAACACGCAUCUACGCAUCUGCCUUUACCGGAUAUAUACAGAGCCUGAUCCACUGAUCAAUCCUGCUCCAGCCUGCCUCAUUCGCUCAGGCACGCAUGCAACCAGCGAAAAAAUCCCCUAGAUUGUCCUAAUCAACUCGAGAUGGGUGUCAGUUUGAGCACCAUCGACGCGUGCAUCUAGUCUAGUCUAGCAUAAAUGAAAGAAAAUUCCCCAUUGGCAUGCACGAGGAAGCUAUGCGGCAGUGCUGGAAUCGAAGGGGAGGGGAGGGGAGGAACCAGGAGCUCACCUCAUGCUGGAAGAGCUUGGAGGAGCGGAAGGCCGGAGCCUCGCGCGGAGUGCGCAACUGGUGGUAGAUCCGCGGUUGAGAGGAGAGGAGAGGAGAGGGGAGGAGAGCCUCUCGGUUUCGUGCUUCGCUCCCCGGGUGUUUUGGCCCGCGGAUUGUGGGUGGAAAAUCGCCCGCUGCCGCUGCCGCGGUGGCGCGGCCGCCGUCACCCCGCCCUGCGCCGCUGGAGGUGGCAUUGAGCCGGCCUUGGAUGCAUGGGGGAAAGAAAGCAGAGUUCUGUUAGUGCGACUGAUGAAGCACGGAGCAAAGCCAAAGCUGGGAGUACUGGUGGUUCUUGGCUCACCUGCCCGAACAGCAGCUGCGUGGCGGCGGCAUGCAUUCCGGGGGCCCCGAACCCGUCGAACAAAGCCUGUGUAGCCGCCUGCAGGUCCUCCCGCGAUCGGUCAGUAGGCCGGCAUGGUCGAUGCUCGGUGAAGAUUUGGGAGCUGCAGAGGGAGAUUUGGGGUUGGAUCUCGGGUCUUCCUCCUAGGAAGACAAGGAGAAGGAGAAGAUAGGGGUGGGGGCGACUGCGGCGGGUUGCAGAGCGGAG
rnacentral:lncRNA from 1 species